ACGACCCCAGGUCAGACGGGACUACCCGCUGAAUUUAAGCAUAUAAAUAAGCGGAGGAGAAGAAACUUACAAGGAUUCCCUUAGUAACGGCGAGC
rnacentral:rRNA from 1 species